rnacentral:rRNA from 1 species
GACGAACGCUGGCGGCGUGCUUAACACAUGCAAGUCGAACGGAAAGGCCCUGCUUUUGUGGGGUGCUCGAGUGGCGAACGGGUGAGUAACACGUGAGUAACCUGCCCUUGACUUUGGGAUAACUUCAGGAAACUGGGGCUAAUACCGGAUAGGAGCUCCUGCUGCAUGGUGGUGGUUGGAAAGUUUCGGCGGUUGGGGAUGGACUCGCGGCUUAUCAGCUUGUUGGUGGGGUAGUGGCUUACCAAGGGUUUGACGGGUAGCCGGCCUGAGAGGGUGACCGGCCACAUGGGGACUGAGGUACGGCCCAGACUCCUACGGGAGGCAGCAGUGGGGAAUAUGACACAAUGGGCGGAAGCCUGAUGCAGCAACGCCGCGUGCGGGAUGACGGCCUUCGGGGUGUAAACCGCUUUCGCCUGUGACGAAGAGGGAGUGACGGUAAUGGGUAAAGAAGCACCGGCUAACUACGUG